rnacentral:rRNA from 1 species
AUAUAUCCUGAGAUGUGAUGCCGAGCCGAUUGUGGUGAAGUGGAUGAUCCUAUGCUGCCGAGAAAAGCCUCUAGUGAGUGUUGUGGCGGCCCGUACCCUAAACCGACUCAGGUGGUCAGGUAGAGAAUACCAAGGCGAUCGGGUGAACUGUGGUUAAGGAACUCGGCAAAUUGCCCCCGUAACUUCGGGAGAAGGGGGACCUCUGCUGGUGAUGGGCUUUACGUUCUGAGCUGGUGGGGGUCGCAGUGGCCAGGGGGAAGCGACUGUUUACUAAAAACACAGGUCCGUGCGAAGUCGUAAGACGAUGUAUACGGACUGACGCCUGCCCGGUGCCGGAACGUUAAGGGGACCGCUUAGCCAACGCGAGUUGGCGAAGGUGAGAACUUAAGCGCCGGUAAACGGCGGUGGUAACUAUAACCAUCCUAAGGUAGCGAAAUUCCUUGUCGGGUAAGUUCCGACCUGCACGAAUGGCGUAACGACUUCCCCGCUGUCUCAACCACAGACCCGGCGAAAUUGCACUACGAGUAAAGAUGCUCGUUUCGCGCAGCAGGACGGAAAGACCCCGGGACCUUCACUACAGCUUGACAUUGGCGUUUGGAACGUCUUGUGUAGGAUAGGUGGGAGACUGGGAAGCUGUCACGCUAGUGAUGGUGGAGUCAUUGGUGAAAUACCACUCUGGUCGUUUUGAACGUCUAACUCUGGUCCGUGAUCCGGAUCGGGGACGGUGUCUGGUGGGUAGUUUAACUGGGGCGGUUGCCUCCUAAAGAGUAACGGAGGCGCCCAAAGGUUCCCUCAGCCUGGUUGGCAAUCAGGUGUUGAGUGUAAGUGCACAAGGGAGCUUGACUGUGAGACUGACAGGUCGAGCAGGAGCGUAAGCUGGGACUAGUGAUCCGGCAUCGGCGUGUGGAAGCGGUGUCGCUCAACGGCUAAAAGGUACCCCGGGGAUAACAGGCUGAUCUUCCCCAAGAGUCCAUAUCGACGGGAUGGUUUGGCACCUCGAUGUCGGCUCGUCGCAUCCUGGGGCUGGAGUAGGUCCCAAGGGUUGGGCUGUUCGCCCAUUAAAGCGGUACGCGAGCUGGGUUUAGAACGUCGCGAGACAGUUCGGUCCCUAUCCGCUGCGCGCGCAGGAGACUUGAAGGGGGCUGUCCCUAGUACGAGAGGACCGGGACGGACGAACCUCUGGUGUGCCAGUUGUACCGCCAGGUGCACGGCUGGUUGGCUACGUUCGGAAGGGAUAACCGCUGAAAGCAUCUAAGCGGGAAGCUCGCCUUGAGAUGAGGUCUCCCACCCCGUGAGGGGGUAAGGCUCCCGGUAGAUCACCGGGUUGAUAGGCCGGAGGUGGAAGCACGGUAACGUGUGGAGCUGACCGGUACUAAUAGGCCGAGGACUUGACCAU